rnacentral:rRNA from 1 species
GACGAACGCUGGCGGCGUGCUUAACACAUGCAAGUCGAACGGAAAGGCCCUGCUUUUGUGUGGUGCUCGAGUGGCGCACGGGUGAGUAACACGUGAGUAACCUGCCCUUGACUUUGGGAUAACUUCAGGAAACUGGGGCUAAUACCGGAUAGGAGCUCCUGCUGCAUGGUGGGGGUUGGAAAGUUUAGGCGGUUGGGGAUGGACUCGCGGCUUAUCAGCUUGUUGGGGGGGUAGUGGCUUACCAAGGCUUUGACGGGUAGCCGGCCUGAGAGGGUGACCGGCGACAUUGCGCCUGAGAUACGGCCCAGACGCCUACGGUAGGCAGCAGGGGGGAAUAUGGCACAAUGGGCGGACGCCUGAGGCAGAAAUGCCGCGUGUGGGAUGACGGCCUACGGGGUGUAAACCGCAUUCGCCUGUGACGAAGCGUGAGUGACGGUAAUGGGUAAAGAAGCACCGGCUAACUACGUG